rnacentral:rRNA from 1 species
CCUACGGGUGGCAGCAGUGAGGAAUAUUGGUCAAUGGCCGGAAGGCUGAACCAGCCAUGCCGCGUGAAGGUCAGUGCCCUAUGGGCGUUAAACUUCUUUUGUGCGGGAGCAAUAAUGGUCACGUGUGGCCAGACGAGAGUACCGUACGAAUAAGCAUCGGCUAACUCCGUGCCAGCAGCCCCGGUAAUACGGGGGAAGCAAGCGGUUUCCGGGUUUAUUGGGUGUAAAGGGUGCGUAGGCGGGGAGGUAAGUCAGCGGUGAAAUGCCCCCGCUCAACGGGGUGAAGUGCCAUUGAUACUGCCUGGCUGGAGUGCGGAUGCCGUGGGAGGAAUGUGUGGUGUAGCGGUGAAAUGCAUAGAUAUCACACAGAACACCGAUUGCGAAGGCAUCUCACGAAUCCGCGAUUGACGCUGAUGCACGAAAGCGUGGGUAUCAAACAGGAUUAGAUACCCCAGUAGUC